rnacentral:rRNA from 1 species
UUGACCUCAAAUCAGGUAGGAGUACCCGCUGAACU